AGUAUUCCAGCGCCAGCCUCUCCGUGCCAGCCUUUCCCAUUGAGUGUCUGAAAAACCCGCGUUUCCAUGGCGACCCGGCUCCAGGGCAACCCGCUUCCUCCAAAAAAAGCGGGCGCAGCGUUUAGGUGCGAUAAACCCACAUGUGCAAACACACACUGCCCUUCCCCUGGGGGCUGCCUUGGAAAAGAACAUCUUCCAUCUGAGGAUCUGUGCACGGCUUGCAUCCUGGAGGCCUCGGAGCCUUAUUAGCUCCAGGGGUGUGUGAUUAUCCACAGGUGUCUGAGGGGGGGAAAAAAGAUGCAAAGAAGCAAAAUGGCUUGGCCCAAGGUGCAAAGAAAGUCAGCAGCGGAGCUAUGAAUAGCCCUGCCGGCUCCUUACAGCCAGCCGAGCGCUGGGCUGUGAGGCCUCCUGAAAGGUGGGAAGCCAGAAACCACCUUCUGCUUCCUGAAAGACUCGCAGAAGGGAGGGAUGUGCAACAGCGGUGGGGACAUACCGGACUCGGCUUUUGAGCGAGGACUAACUACUGGCCCAAACCAUGAGAACCAGGAGAUGCUGUGGGCCACACAAGGGCUGUGGAAAAGCUGCCUUGAUGUGACAGGCUAUGCUGGAGGACAGGACGUGCUGCCCAGCAYGAUGUUCUUCACUCCCACAGCGGCCGGACCUGUGUCACAAGGAAGAGCUGUGAGASACGAGACGGGACGCCCCGGAGACCAAAGGGAGCUGGGACUUCUGCAUCUUUGUGACACYGCGCUUGGCACUGCAGGGAACGAGGGCUCUUCUUAGGUGCUGCGUUUCCUUUCUCCAGCGCCAAAACCCGCUCUGAAAAGCCUCAGUCCUGCCGAACCGUCAGUGACCAGCUGCCUGUUGCAGAGAUCUACAUCUGACGGUGGCUGACGCAGCAGUGGAAAAAGCCAGGGGGAGAAGAUGCCCCCCCUUUGAAGGAGCACGUUAGAAGAAGGAUUGAAAUCAGAUUAAAUGACAGACAGAAGGACACUUUGGUGAUGUGUCCCAUUGCUCACYCAAGGUGUCUUUUAAACUAUGAGUCAUCAGCCGAGGAAUUGCAAUUUCUGKGUUCUGCGUUUCACAUGCAAACUGAGGCGCCACGAGGAAGCGGUUAGGACCUUGGCAGGUUCUGGGGAGUUAAAGUCUUUAUCAUUAACUGUUUAAUGUGAUGCAUUUCCUCUCAAGCCAGUGGAACUGUUCCAGUUUUCACSAGAUGCAACCUCAAAGAUGAAGCUGAAAUAAGGCAAUGUAGAUUUCCCCACAUUUUCAUCUCAUCCCCAAACAAGGGUGCCCAAGGAGCGAGACCCCUCGGUGCCUCUGUGAUUCUCCGUCAGAAACCGUGGGAAACCCAGAGGGAGAGCCAGCUGCGAGGGGUAUUUGCGCUGGAUGUGGGUGCAUCUGAUGCAGACCAAAGUGGUGGGAUUUUUGGUUUUGUUUUAACUGGGAUCUUCUGCUCCCUGACACAUGUUGCUGUCCAGGUCUCCCUUCUAAAUUGAUCCCACCCUGAGCUCCAGCAAGCUUUCUGACAGCCCUGGCACUGGAACUGAGACAUUUCUGUAAAAUGCUAACACCUUGAUGGAAUAGCAUUUUUUUCAAGGCGGGGGGAAAUGCCAGAGCAUUUUCAUUCAGUUGCGUCUCCCCAGGAAAGCAGCUUGAAUCAGCCAUGAUCAGUGGUUGCAAUAAGCCCGUUUGACAGAUGCUUGGCUGAUUCUGUUUCUAAGACACCCAAUACUCCUCUGUGCCUGUGACUCUAGCCCUCUUUCGCAUACCUCCGUAUCGC
rnacentral:lncRNA from 1 species